rnacentral:rRNA from 1 species
GGGGCACCUGGACGCAGCAAUACCGCGGUGAAUGAAGAAGGUCUUCGGAUCGUAAAGUUCUGUUAUUGGGGAAGAACAAAGACGGUACCCAAGGAGAAAGUCCCGGCUAACUACGUGCCAGCAGCCGCGGUAAUACGUAGGGGACAAGCGUUGUCCGGAUUUACUGGGCGUGAAGGGCACGCAGGCGGUUUUUUAAGUCAGAUGUGAAAGGUCCCGGCUCAACCGGGGAACGGCAUUUGAAACUGGAGAACUUGAGUAUUGGAGAGGCAAGUGGAAUUCCUAGUGUAGCGGUGAAAUGCGUAGAGAUUAGGAGGAACACCAGUGGCGAAGGCGGCUUGCUGGACAAAUACUGACGCUGAGGUGCGAAAGCGUGGGGAGCAGACAGGAUUAGAUACCCUGGUAGUCCACGCCGUAAACGAUGAGUGCUAGGUGUUGGGGGAACUCAGUGCCGCAGUUAACACAAUAAGCACUCCGCCUGGGGAGUACGACCGCAAGGUUGAAACUCAAAGGAAUGGACGGAAUCACUAGUGA